AUUGAACGCUGGCGGCAGGCCUAACACAUGCAAGUCGAACGAGUGGCGGACGGGUGAGUAAUGACUGGGAAACUGCCUGCUGGCGGGGGAUAACUACUGGAAACGGUAGCUAAUACCGCAUACCAUCAGAUGUGCCCCGAUGGGAUUAGCUAGUUGGUGGGGUGAGGGCUCACGAAGGAGACGAUCCCUAGAUGGUCUGAGAGGAUGACCAGCCACACUGGAACUGAGACACGGUCCCGACUCCUACGGGAGGAAGCAGUGGGGAAUAUUGCACAAUGGGCGCAAGCCUGAUGCAGCCAUGCCGCGUGGAUGAAGAAGGCCUUCGGGUUGUAAAGUACUUUCAGCGGGGAGGCGUUACCCGCAGAAGAAGCACCGGCUAACUCCGUGCCAGCCGCCGCGGUAAUUC
rnacentral:rRNA from 1 species